ACAGAGGUGACUAACGUUGUCCGGAAUUAUUGGGCGUAAAGGGCGCGUAGGCGGUUCAGUAAGUCAGAUGUGAAAUGUCCGGGCUUAACCCGGAAGUUGCAUCUGAUACUGCUGGACUUGAGUACGGUAGAGGAAGGUGGAAUUCCCAGUGUAGCGGUGAAAUGCGUAGAUAUUGGGAGGAACACCGGUGGCGAAGGCGGCCUUCUGGACCGAGACUGACGCUGAAGCGCGAAAGCUAGGGGAGCAAACGG
rnacentral:rRNA from 1 species